AUCCUUUAUCUGCACUUGGAAAGCUACAAAAUUUAGAGAUGUAUUAGAUCUCUAAGGCGGCUUUCAAGUGACUGGAGCUGCAAAAUAGAUCAGACUGCAGAAGCAUUUGCUAACACGGGAUUAUGACUGCUGCCUCAUCGUAUAGGAAGAAAAAGAAACAGCCAAAAAACAGAACGAAACAUACUAAUGAGAACUACUACUCAUGAAAGCCACACAAUCUAUUUCAUGGAUCUAGUUGAACUGAUCUUAAAACAAGACAAAAGGAUAGAGUAAACACGGCAAUAUACUAUAAGCUUUCCUUAUUUUUGAGGAAUUUAGGAAAUUCUUCUCUUCUAAAAUAUGCCAUAAGCAGAACAGACAUAAUGACUAGCUAAAUAGAUCCACAAACCCUACCUGUAUUUGUGUCAAUCUUGAGUUAUAUUCAUUCAAGUACUUAGAAAGAUAAUGUAUUUUGAACCCCUCAUCCUUGGCUAAACCUUUAUUGCUCAAACACAAAGGGAACAAAGCCUCUGGAUAUACAGAGAGACAGUAUCAGGAACAGGGAACUAUGUGGCUGACUUCAAAAAGAUUUGAAGGAAUGCAGCAUAAUGCUGUUUGUCUGUAAUUUGUCGAUGUUUUAGAAAAGUCACUUGUAAGUAAAUAUGUUAAUCUACCAUCAUAGCUCAUACCUUAUCUGUAUUGUCAAGAGACAGAAACUGGAAUUUGGUAAUAAAUAAACAUUUGAUUCUUUUAACUUGA